AUGCUCCGCCUCCACAAAUGGAUCCUCACCGAACUGCUCCUUCCUUCCACCUCCGCCUACGCCAUCUCCCCUCUCCACCGCCUCAUCUCCGCCGCCGCGCCCGCCGUCUCCCCCAACCCUAGUAGCUUCGCCGUGGAGGACUACCUCGUCUCCUCCUGCGGCCUCACCCGACCACAGGCCGCCAAGGCCUCCGCCAGGCUCUCCCACCUCAAAUCCCCCGCCAAGCCCGACGCCGUCCUCUCCUUCCUCGCCGGCCUCGGCCUCUCCGGCGCCGAUGUCGCCGCCCUCGUCGCCAAGGACCCGCAGCUCCUCUGCGCCGGUGUGGAGAAAACCCUGGCCCCCAACGUCGCGGGGCUCACUGGCCUUGGUCUCUCGCGUUCUGAGAUCGCACGCCUCGUCUCGCUCUCCCGUAACAGCUUCCGCUACAGAUCCAUCGUCUCCAAGCUGCAGUACUACAUGCCUCUCUUUGGGUCCUUUGAGAACCUCCUCCGGGCCCUCAAGAGGAACUUCUACCUUCUCUCGUCUGACCUCGACGGCAUCGUCAAGCCCAAUGUCGCUUAUCUGCAGGAGUGCGGGCUAGGUGCUUGUGAUAUUGCCAAGCUAUGCAUCAGUCGACCAGGUCUGCUCACCACCAAUCCAGAGCGUUUCCAGGGCAUGGUGGCACGCGCCGAAAACAUAGGUAUGCCCUGUAGUUCUGGGAUGUUCAGCCACGCGCUGCAUGCUGUUGCAUGUUUCAGCAAAGAGGAGAUCGCAGCCAGGGUGGACUACUUGAAGAACACGUUCAUGUGGACAGAUGCUGAGGUGGGCAUUGCUGUUUCUAAGGCUCCAUUGAUACUGACAAGGUCCAAGGAAUCGCUGCAGCGCAGGUCUGAGUUCCUCAUCUCCAAGGUGGGGUUAGAACCGGCAUAUAUUGCUUGUCGUCCGGCAAUGCUCAUGUAUAGCUUGGAGGGCCGGCUCAGACCCCGGUACUAUGUUGUCAAAUUUCUCAAGGAAAGUGGAUUGCUAGAUCAUGACCGGCACUACUUUGGUGCAGUCAUGAUCAGCGAGAAGGUAUUCGUCGAGAAGUUCAUAUGCCCUCAUAAGGAUGCUGCACCGCAUCUCGCUGAAGAUUAUGUAACAGCUUGCAGAGGGUGA
rnacentral:rRNA from 1 species